AACCAUAGAAACCUGCGGAGUACCUGCGGAGGGAUCAUUAUCGAGUUGCAAAACUCCAACCCUUUGUGAACAUACCUCAGUCGUUGCUUCGGCGGUGGACGGCCUUUUUUCGAAAAGGCCCGAAGCCGCCGGAGGUUCCAAACUCGUGUUUUGUUUAGUGUAUCUCUGAGCCUGAAAACAAAUAAUCAAAACUUUUAACAAUGGAUCU
rnacentral:misc_RNA from 1 species